GAGGAGGAGAACAGAAGAUGGAAACAGCAGGAGAAACUAUCACAAGCAAAGGUGAAAUCCAAGCAGGACAAACUACCGCAAGCAAAGGGGAAAUUACCCUGGAGUAAGCUCAAGAACAAGAUUUUUCGUAAAGAAGGUAGGGAAAUAUGUUCAAAACAUGUGAAGCACCAG